CAUUAAGAAGCCGACAUGAUCCGGCGCCGGCCUUUUAAGCCGGAACCUGGUGCCCAUCGCCCACCCUUAAUGG
rnacentral:tRNA from 1 species